ACAGCAGUAGCCACGGGAACACGUAGGGUGCAAGCGUUAAUCGGAAUUACUGGGCGUAAAGCGUGCGCAGGCGGUUAUAUAAGACAGAUGUGAAAUCCCCGGGCUCAACCUGGGAACUGCAUUUGUGACUGUAUAGCUAGAGUACGGCAGAGGGGGAUGGAAUUCCGCGUGUAGCAGUGAAAUGCGUAGAUAUGCGGAGGAACACCGAUGGCGAAGGCAAUCCCCUGGGCCUGUACUGACGCUCAUGCACGAAAGCGUGGGGAGCAAACAGGAUUAGAUACCCCGGUAGUUCCUGUCUCUUAUAC
rnacentral:rRNA from 1 species